UUCGGAUUCACUGGGCGUAAAGGGUGCGCAGGCGGCCUGGUGUGUCAGAUGUGAAAUCCCGAGGCUCAACCUCGGAACUGCGUCUGAAACUACUCGGCUAGAGUACUGGAGAGGGUAACGGAAUUCACGGUGUAGCAGUGAAAUGCGUAGAUAUCGUGAGGAACACCAGAGGCGAAGGCGGUUACCUGGACAGUUACUGACGCUCAGGCACGAAAGCAUGGGGAGCAAAAGGG
rnacentral:rRNA from 1 species